rnacentral:lncRNA from 1 species
GUUCAUCCGCCCUCAAAUAGGAUCUGUCGGGUUCAUCCGCCCUCAAAUAGGAUAUGUUGGGUUCAUCCGCCCUCAAACAAGAUAUGUUGGGUUCAUCCGCCCUCAAAUAGGAUAUGUUGGUUUCAGUCUUUACAUUUCUUGACAGGCGCCCACCUGAAUAACGAGAGGAAUACAUUUUCUGUCUUUUCAUUCCUGUUCAAGGUCACCCACCAGUAUAAUGCGGGCAUAUCAUUUUUCAUGUCUUUACCAGGAGCCCACCUGUAUAACGAGAGGAAUACUUUUAUGUCUUAGUUUAAACAGGCGCCCACCUGAAUAACGAGAGGAAUACUUUUGUCUGUGCAUUUCAUAUUCUAGGCACCCACCUGUAUAACAAGGGAAUACAUUUUGCGUCUUUGCCAUUAGGCGCCCACCUGUAUAAUAAGGGAAUACAUUCCACGUCUUUACCCAUAGGAGAUGCAUUUCCUCCUAGGUUUGUUUAGUUUUACCCAUAGGAGACGCAUUUCCUCCUAGGUUUGUUUAAUUUUACCCAUAGGAGAUGCAUUUCCUCCUAGGUUUGUUGCAGUUUCACCCAUAGGAGACGCAUUUCCUCCUAGGUUUGUUUCAGUUUCACCCAUAGGAGAUGCAUUUCCUCCUAAGUUCAGUUCUACCAAUAGGAGACGCACUUCCUAAGUUUAUUGCACCCAAUAGGAGAUGCACUUCCUAAGUAAUGCUUUUAUCAGUAGGAGACACACUUCCUAUGAAUAGUUCACCAAUAGGAGACGCACUUCCUAAAGUUUAGUUUCACCCAGUAGGAGACGCACCUCCUAAAAAACAGUUAUCCCCAAUAGGAGACGCACUUCCUAAGUUUAUUAUACCCACAGGAGACGCACUUCCUCAAAGUUAA